rnacentral:rRNA from 1 species
UACAGAGGGUGCAAGCGUUAAUCGGAAUUACUGGGCGUAAAGCGCGCGUAGGCGGCUGAUUAAGUCGGGUGUGAAAGCCCCGGGCUCAACCUGGGAACUGCAUUCGAUACUGAUCGGCUAGAGUAUGAGAGAGGGAGGUAGAAUUCCACGUGUAGCGGUGAAAUGCGUAGAUAUGUGGAGGAAUACCGGUGGCGAAGGCGGCCUCCUGGUUCAAUACUGACGCUGAGGUGCGAAAGCGUGGGGAGCAAACAGG